GUGCCCUAACCAGCCGCCGUUGCAGAGCCCUCAUAAGCUCACUCCCUCCAUGAAAUCCCUCCAUGGCGCUGGUAUUCAAAUCAAUCGGCUCCGCAAGAUGCUUCAUCGAGGUUUCAGUCUCUUACCUUUUUAAGAUUUCGCAAUUAGUUCAUCGCAUUCGGUUUCGCAUUCUAAACUGAUGAAGGAUAUGAUGUUGAAUCUGUAAAAUGUCUGAGAAGUAACAUUUCGCAUUUAGUUUCGCAUUAUAAACUGAUGAAGGAUAUGAUGUUGAAUCUGUAAAAGGUCUGAGAAGUAACAUUUCGCAAGUAGUUCAUGAUAUUUCGCAUUUAAUUUCGCACUAUGAACUGAUGAAGGAUAUGAUGUUGAAUUUGUAAAAGGUCUGAGAAGGAAAGUUGUGUUGGUAGAGACGAUGUUUGAGGUUUGAGGAAAGGGAAUAUUAAUGGUAGAGGGCCCCUGUCCAUGUGAGAGUCAUCGCAUUGUGACUUUCGCAACCUCUUCUAUAGAAAUUGUGUUGAAAUUGCAACGGGUUUGAACAAAAGGCGUGGGUUGCAUUCUAGCAUUGGAUGCUAACCUAGACUUCGCCCGACACUUUUC